AUACGGAGGGUGCGAGCGUUAAUCGGAAUUACUGGGCGUAAAGCGCGCGUAGGCGGUUUGGUCAGUCGGAUGUGAAAGCCCUAGGCUCAACCUGGGAAUGGCAUUCGAUACUGCCUGACUAGAGUAUGGUAGAGGGAAGUGGAAUUUCCGGUGUAGCGGUGAAAUGCGUAGAUAUCGGAAGGAACACCAGUGGCGAAGGCGACUUCCUGGGCCGAAACUGACACUGAGGCACGAAAGCGUGGGGAGCAAACAGGAUUAGAUACCCCAGUAGUCC
rnacentral:rRNA from 1 species